UAACACCAGCUCCUCGAGUGGUUAGGGCGUUUAUUGGGCCUAAAGCAUCCGUAGCCUGCUCAGUAGGUCUCCUGUUAAAUCCACCGUCUCAAACGUUGGUCUGCAGGAGAUACCGCUGGGCUAGGAGGCGGGAGAGGCGGACGGUACUCCGAGGGUAGGGGUAAAAUCCUUUGAUCCCCGGAAGACCACCAGUGGCGAAGGCGG
rnacentral:rRNA from 1 species